UAAAUGGCUGCGAAGCAGGCCCCGGGCAGGAGUCGCUCGGGCGCAGGGAGGAAGUGAACCGGCCGGAGGGAGCGCCCGGCUGCUGGCCCCACAGUCCUGACACCUCCGGAACUCCUAAUCCUUUACUUGUCCGGCUGAAAGGUCACCAAGGAGGCCUUUGACAGAUCCGUUGAGGUGAACCUGCGUGCGGCCAUCCAGGUGUCACAGGUGAGCUGCCCUGUGGGCUGGACGGGAAUUCUGGUGAGUGAUGCCAGCUCUGCUUCACCGUCUCGCUGCAAUUCCAGAUUGUAGCCAGGGGCUUAAUAGCCCGGGGAGUCCCAGGGGCCAUCGUGAAUGUCUCCAGCCAGGGCUCCAAGCGGG
rnacentral:sRNA from 1 species